rnacentral:rRNA from 1 species
UACGAAGGGAGCUAGCGUUGUUCGGAAUCACUGGGCGUAAAGCGCACGUAGGCGGACGUGUCAGUCAGGGGUGAAAUCCCGGAGCUCAACUUCGGAACUGCCUUUGAUACAGCACGUCUUGAGUCCGGAAGAGGUGGGUGGAAUUCCCAGUGUAGUGGUGAAAUACGUAGAUAUCAGGAGGAACACCGGUGGCGAAGGCGGGUCUCUGGGCCGUAACUGACGCUGAGUGAGCGAAAGCGUGGGGAGCGAACAGG